rnacentral:rRNA from 1 species
GUUUGAUCCUGGCUCAGGACAAACGCUGACGGCGUGCCUAAUGAUUGACCUUCAAGUGGAAAGGGGUAGCAAUAUCCCGAGGAAACCGGCGCACGGGUGAGUAACGCCUAUGCGAUCUUCCUUUACGACGAGGACAACGCCUAGAAAUCGGGGCUAAUACCGGAUGAUGCUACGUCGCCGCAUGGUGAUUGUUGUUAAAGGGCUUAAAGGGUGCCUAUUGAUGAGCCUGCGUCCCAUUAGGUAGUUGGUGGGGUAACAGCCCACCAAGCUAACGAUGGGUAGCUGGUCUGAUUUUAUGAUCGGCCACACUGGAACUGAAACACGGUCCAGACUCCUAUGGAGGCCUCGUGAGGAAUAUUGCGCAAUGGCCGAAAGGCUGACCCAACGACGCCCCGUGGUGCAUGAACUCCGAUAGGAUGUAAACCUCUUUUGAAGGGAUGAACACCACGCUAUAUGCGUUGGAUGACCGUACCCUGCGAAUAAAGAUCUGGCUAACUACGUGCCAGCAGCCGCGGYAAYACGUACCGAUCCGAGCGUUGUCCGKAUUUACUGGGUGUAAAGGGCGUGUWAGUGGGCUUYUAAKUCGGUGKAGARAUCUCGMAKUCUCARCUGKRAAACUGMRMKKCGAUACAUAKCAGGUCUUGAGUGCRGAGAGGRAAGUGSAUUCAUGGUGUAGCGSUGAMRUGWGKMGAUAWMRUKAAGAACASCAGWAGSGAAGGCGGCUYCCUGGUCCKMAMCYKACACUGAGGCGCGAAAGCGUGGGUAGCAAACAGGAUUAGAUACCCUGGUAGUCCACGCCCUAAACGAUAGCUACUCGGGUAUGGGGUAUGAGSUUCAGUGCCAAAGAUAAUGCAUYAAGUACUGCUCCUGGUGAGKASKAUCGCAAGAUUGAAACUCAUCGGAAUWGUCGGGGGCCCGCACAACCAGUGGAGCAUCUGGUUCAUUUCUUCGCAACGAGAAGAACAUUAUCCGGGUUGUAAAAGCCGCUGCCAAUCGAUGAAAGUCGGUAUUUCUCCAAGGGGCGCCGGUACAGGUGCUGCAUGGCUGUCGUCAGCUCGUGCCGUGAGGUGUUGGGUUAAGUCCCGCAACGAGCGCAACCCUUGCAUUUAGUUGCCAUCAGGUCAAGCUGGGCACUCUAAGUGGACUGCCUACGCAAGUAGUGAGGAAGGUGGGGAUGACGUCAAGUCCUCAUGGCCCUUACAUCCGGGGCAACACACGUGCUACAAUGGCCGGUACAGAGGGCAGCAAAGCCGUGAGGCGGAGCCAAUCUCAAAAAAGCGGUCUCAGUUCGGAUUGGAGUCUGCAACUCGACUCCAUGAAGCUGGAAUUGCUAGUAAUCGCGCAUCAGCACGGCGCGGUGAAUACGUUCCCGGGCCUUGUACACACCGCCCGUCAAGCCAUGGAAGCUGGGAGUACCUGAAGCCGCUGCGCCAACCCGCAAGGGAGGCAGGCGUCUAAGGUAAGACCAGUGACUGGGGUUAAGUCGUAACAAGGUAGCCG